GAGGAACGAUCGGAGGGCAAGUCUGGUGCCAGCAGCCGCGGUAAUUCCAGCUCCAAUAGCGUACGUUAAAGUUGCUGCAGUUAAAAGCUCGUAGUUUCCUUGAAUAAUUAACAAUUAACUCAGAACUGAAGCGGACAAGGGGAAUCCGACUGUUUAAUAAAACAUAGCAUUGUGAUGGCCUGAAAAGGUGUUGACACAAUGUGAAUUCUGCCCAGUGCUUUGAAUGUCAAAGUGAAGAAAUUCAACCAAGCGCAGGUAAACGGCGGGAGUAACUAUGACUCUCUUAAGGUAGCCAAAUGCCUCGUCAUCUAAUUAGUGACGCGCAUGAAUGGAUCAAUGAGAUUCCCACUGUCCCUAUCUGCUACCUAGCGAACACACAGCCAAGGGAACAGGCUUGGAAUAAUCAGCGGGG
rnacentral:rRNA from 1 species